AUAUACGACCGUACCGCAAACCGACACUGGUGCGCGAGAUGAGUAUUCUAAGGCGCUUGAGAGAACUCAGGAGAAGGAACUCGGCAAAUUGACACCGUAACUUCGGAAGAAGGUGUGCCCUAUUAGUGUGAAGUGAACAACGGAGCAUGAAUGGGUUGCAAAGAAUCGGUGGCUGCGACUGUUUAUUAAAAACACAGCACUCUGCAAACACGAAAGUGGACGUAUAGGGUGUGACGCCUGCCCGGUGCUGGAAGAUUAAAUGAUGGGGUGCAAGCUCUUGAUUGAAGUCCCAGUAAACGGCGGCCGUAACGAUAACGGUCCUAAGGUAGCGAAAUUCCUUGUCGGGUAAGUUCCGACCUGCACGAAUGGCGUAACGAUGGCCACACUGUCUCCUCCUGAGACUCAGCGAAGUUGAAAUGUUUGUGAUGAUGCAAUCUCCCCGCGGAAAGACGGAAAGACCCCAUGAACCUUUACUGUAGCUUUGUAUUGGACUUUGAACAGAUCUGUGUAGGAUAGGUGGGAGGCUUUGAAGCAGGGUCGCUAGAUCUUGUGGAGCCAACGUUGAAAUACCACCCUGGUGUGUUUGAGGUUCUAACCUAGGUCCAUUAUCUGGAUCGGGGACAGUGCAUGGUAGGCAGUUUGACUGGGGCGGUCUCCUCCCAAAGCGUAACGGAGGAGUUCGAAGGUACGCUAGUUACGGUCGGACAUCGUGACGAUAGUGCAAUGGCAUAAGCGUGCUUAACUGCGAGACUGACAAGUCGAGCAGAUGCGAAAGCAGGACAUAGUGAUCCGGUGGUUCUGUAUGGAAGGGCCAUCGCUCAACGGAUAAAAGGUACUCUGGGGAUAACAGGCUGAUACCGCCCAAGAGUUCAUAUCGACGGCGGUGUUUGGUACCUCGAUGUCGGCUCAUCUCAUCCUGGGGCUGUAGCCGGUCCCAAGGGUAUGGCUGUUCGCCAUUUAAAGGGGUACGUGAGCUGGGUUUAAAACGUCGUGAGACAGUUUGGUCCCUAUCUUCCGUGGGCGCUGCAGAUUUGAGGAAGCCUGCUCCUAGUACGAGAGGACCGGAGUGGACACACCUCUGGUGUAUCGGUUGUCACGCCAGUGGCAUUGCCGAGUAGCUAAGUGUGGAAGAGAUAACCGCUGAAAGCAUCUAAGCGGGAAACUCGUUUCAAGAUGAGAUCUGCCGGGGCCUUGAGCCCCCUGAAGAGUCGUUCAAGACCAGGACGUUGAUAGGUCAGGUGUGGAAGC
rnacentral:rRNA from 1 species